AAGAAGUUAUACAUUAAAAUAUUCUUCAGAUACUUCUUUCAUAAUCAACACUUGAGGCAGAAAAAAAGUGUCUCUUUAUAGGGGAAGACAGUGAUCUAAAUGAAACCAAAUUUUAUUAAAUGGAAAAUUGUGGAUGAAAAAGAGCAAAAAAGGACCGCUUGGGAGAGAGCAAAUACUGAACUUGAAGCAGCUGGGAAGCCACAUGUCCCAUCUGACAGACCAGAUUAUAAACAGAUAAAUCCAGCUCCAACUUAUAUCCACGUACUGCUUCUGUCAUCACAAAGUAGAUGCUUGAAAUAACUGUGAUACAAGAUUUUAUCUGCCCAUCAAAAUGAAAGGUUGCAUAUUUUCCUUUAUAUUAUUGCAUUUACAUAUGGUAUGCAACUGCAUGGAAAGACUACCAGUACAAGACACAUAUUUGCUGUUAUCAUAUUCAAAAUAUUAAUAAAUAAAUUUUACACUGA
rnacentral:lncRNA from 11 species